CAGCAGCCGCGGUAAUACAGAGGGUGCGAGCGUUAAUCGGAUUUACUGGGCGUAAAGCGUGCGUAGGCGGCUUCUUAAGUCGGAUGUGAAAUCCCUGAGCUUAACUUAGGAAUUGCAUUCGAUACUGGGAAGCUAGAGUAUGGGAGAGGAUGGUAGAAUUCCAGGUGUAGCGGUGAAAUGCGUAGAGAUCUGGAGGAAUACCGAUGGCGAAGGCAGCCAUCUGGCCUAAUACUGACGCUGAGGUACGAAAGCAUGGGGAGCAAACAGGAUUAGAUACCCUCGUAGUCCCUGUCUCUUAUAC
rnacentral:rRNA from 1 species